rnacentral:rRNA from 1 species
UACGUAGGGGCCAAGCGUUGUCCGGAUUUAUUGGGCGUAAAGAGCUCGUAGGUGGUUCGGCAAGUCAGUUGUGAAAUCUCCGCGCUCAACGCGGAGGGGUCAGCUGAAACUGCUGUGACUUGAGUCUGGUAGGGGAGUGUGGAAUUCCCGGUGUAGCGGUGAAAUGCGCAGAUAUCGGGGAGGAACACCAGUGGCGAAGGCGGCACUCUGGGCCAGUACUGACACUGAGGAGCGAAAGCGUGGGGAGCGAACAGG